rnacentral:rRNA from 1 species
AUGUGUGUUUUCAGCUUGCCUAAGGGAAUUUGUAAAGAGAUCACGGAUGCUAUUGCACAAUUCUGGUGGGGUGAUGAUAAGGAGACCAAAAAAAUGCAUUGGAUGACGUGGUGGAAGUUGUGUAUCCCUAAGAGUGAAGGAGGCAUGGGGUUCCGUGACCUCUACUCUUUUAACUUGACAAUGUUGUCCAAGCAAUGUUGGAGGUUGAUCAAUGACCUGCAUUCUUUGGUUGCGAGAGUUCUCAAGGCAAAAUAUUACCCAAAUGGUUCCCUCAUUGAUGCUACACCAAAAAAUGGGUCGUCCUUCACAUGGCAGAGUAUUUUGAAGGGGUUGAAAACUUUUAAGAAAGGAUACCUUUGA